ACACACACACACACACACACACACACAUAUUUAUAAAAUUUCCAUCGGCUGUUGGCAAUGUAGAAUCCUAGUCUGGAAAGAAAUCACAUAUUCCCAGGAAUACCAGAGAAUCACAAUAUAGAUUUGAUGAUGAGCCUCAAAUUUUACUCUAUUUCCCCUUUAAGGAUAUGCUUCCUCAUUUGUUCAAAGGCAAUAAUAAUAGUUCCCGUCUCAUGGGGGAGUGAUUUCUGUUCUUAAGGUUAUUUAUAUGGUAUAUUACAUUAAUUUGUGUCUAUUGAGCCGGCUUCAUCUCUGAGAUGAAGCUAAUACAUCUGCUAAAUCCAUUUGAGCAGUGGUAUAGCUUAAAGUUUCCUUGUAGAUUUUUAAUUUGAAUGACUUGUGUAGAGAUGAGAACUGACAAUAGAAUCUCCCACUAUGUUGCACUUACACCCAUGUGACUUGUAAAUGCCUGUUCGUGUCUGUAUGAAGUCAUGAGCCACAGUGUUUGCUGCAUGUUUAUUCACAGUAGUUACAGCUGCUCUUCAGUUGUUCCCUUUAUUACAAUAUGCUGACCUUCUUUUUGUUCUAAUUUGAUUUCAGGUUAUCAGCUAUCAAAAUACUAUGCCUUGUAUUUGGUUUCCAUUUGUUUGGCAUGCUGACUUCCAUCUUUUGACUCUCAGUGUGGGUAUCCUCCAGAGAGAUGCUUCUUGGAAACAUUAGUUUGAGGUCAUUUGUUCCUAGAAACUAUGUACUAACCACUGUAAUUCUGUUGCUUAGACUCUUGUUCUUUUCCCUCCUGCCAGGGGUUUUCUGGUGUAUUACAUCAGACAUGAUCGAUUCCUUCUGAGCUCGCCUUUGUUGUCUGCUACUCUGUGAAAGUCUUACUCCCUUAUUUUCUUAUGAUUGAGAGUGUUUUUGCAUCUUCCUCUGUGUAUAAUAUUCCUUUAACUAUCUUCUGGAAUGCUAAGUUGGUGGUCAUGAACUGCCUUAAUUUGUGCUUAUCUUCAAAUAUUUGUAUUUCUUUAUCAACUUUGAAAGAUAAUGCUGCUGAGUAUAGCAACUGGGUCAGCACACUUGAGCUCUCUCAUUCCAUGAUUUCCUGACUGAAAUGGCUGAUGAGAGGCUGAUAUUCCUCUAAUAGUUAUGUCUCUGUAGGUAAGCUGACGGUUUCCUCUCACAGCUUUUAACCUUGUUUCUUUGUAUUCCUGUUGUCCUGGCUUUUAUGUGCCAUGAACACAUUGUUAUCUGCUCAUGUCUGUUUGGCAUUCUGUGCCAUGGAGACAUUGUUAUCCACUCUUGUCUGUUUGGCAUUCUGUGCCAUGGACACAUUGUUAUCUGCUCGUGUCUAUUUGGCAUUCUGCAUGAGCUUUUGUGUUUCGAUGUCCAUUUCAUUCUCUAGAUCUGUGAAAUUUUCUGCUGAGGUUUUAUGAGCUGCAUGCCUGCCAUUCUUACCUAAGUUUCUACCCACGGUGCUUAGGUUGGAUUGCAGAGUUCUUGGGCUUCAAGGUAAAAACCCUUUAUUGUUUUCUUUAUGGGUAUUGGAAUGCAGGGUUUGUCUUUUGUGCUCUCCAGCCCUGAAACUCUUUCUUCCUCUUGGUCAGAUUUCUUGGCAAUGUUUUCCACUGUUUCUUUAUUUGAUUCAUUGAGUUUAUUUCCAAGUUUCUUUUUUUCAAAACCUCAAUUUCCUUAUUGAUUUUCCCCCUUACCCAUAUUUUUCAUCCAUAUUACUGAGAGUCAGUCUCUCUCUCUCACACACACAUGCACACUUUUUUUCAAUUUUUUUUUACAUUGCUGACUUCAUUCCAAGUCCUGUUUUUUGUCCUACAGCUUGUUUGCAUAUUCUUUAAGGUCACUUAUUAUUUUGACUAAUACACUCUUGAAGUCUCAUCUGACACUUUGCCAUUUCAGUAAUAUCGUUGAAUUCAAUAAUUGAGUGGGGUCUUUUGAAAUCACACUGUGUGCUCUCUCUCUCCCUCUGUCUCUCUCCCCUCCCUCUCUCUAUCUCUGUCUCUCUCUCUCUUUCUCUCUCUCUCUCUUUCUCUCUCUCUCUCUCUCUCUCUCUCUCUCUCUCUCUCUCUCUCUCUCUCUCUCUCUCGUGUGUGUGUGUGUGUGUAUGUGUGUGUGUGUGUGUGUGUGUGUGUGUCCCUCCCUCCUUUCCCUCCCAUCCCUGUGAGCAUCCCUUCUCCCUACAAGCCCAUUUCCCACAUUCUUGUCUUGGUUUAGAGACCUGUAUUCCUAAAUACUGAAGAGACACAUUUCUUUUUGCUAAAUCCAGAACUCUUAUUUGAAAAUAUUUUCAAUUAGUAAUCAUAUAGAUUUGAAAAAAUACUUUGGUUUAUCUUUAAUGGCAUAUAAAACAAAGCACAGUAAUCCUGUGACCAUAAACAGAAGGUGGUUAGGAAUGUGGGCAUGGGAUCUGGGAGGUAAUGAAGCGUGUUCAUCCUUUCAUCGAGUCUAGGAUGCCUAUAUUCAUGUGUCUGUGGGACAGUUAAAAGAUAAUAAAGACAGUACUGACAUCCCAUCUUUUCUAUAAAUGUUUAGUGCCUUAAAACAUCACAGCUUUUUUAUUUUUCUACAUGUAAUUGUUUCAAAGUAUAUACUUAGGUAACUAUUUAACUUUACCAUUUAUUCAAGAUUCUUACUGGAAGAAUCUAACAAAUGUCUUUAUAGAUUUUAUUUCCCAAAUUGUAUUGCUGGUAAAUUGUUACAGCAGCUGUACUUAGGUCCUCAAGUGCAAGAAUAUCUGCACUGCUUUCAUGCUCUAAGACUCCAAGAUAACACUCGGUGAUAGACUAGGAAGGGAACUAAAUAGACUUCCCAGAACUACUAGGGAGGGGCUGAUGAUGCAUUAGCUCUUGGAAAGACAGCUCCUGCCUGCUGGGGGUGAGAAGGAAGUGCCUCCCUAUAAAGCCAGCCAGAUGAGAUAUGUGAGGGCUAGCUUUACCUCAGCUUUCUAGCCAUGUGACCAGAAAGUAUCUGAAAAUAGAAUAACUUGCAUUUGACUUAAAGGGAUACAUUUCUAGACUUGAAGCCAAUACGGUUGUGAACUGAGGCUGUUUCUUCAGAGGCCUGUUGUCUUGACAUACGCAGAGGUGCUUUACAGCCUCUCUCUCAGCCUCAGGGCUCCUUGUCUUUGGUGUCCUUGCUUCUGCACUUCCUUGCCUGUUGCUCUUUAGCCUUUGACCCACACUCUGCUUGCUUGUUUCCUAGGUCUGUAAGGUCAUGAAUGACACAUUAGCAGAGAACAGGAUCUAAAAUGUAAGGAUCUUGGGUUUGCCCACUGCCUCUCCUCAGCUCUGUCAAGGCCUGUGGAGUCUCUGAGCUCUGGGCCUGCCUGAGUGUUUUAGGAGGAGCAUCACAGCUCCAGUGUUUGAGACAUGGUGCUGCCAUUGCUCACCAAAUAACAACUUUUUAGCCAUUGCCUUUCCUCAUCACCCAGGAGGAAACAGUACCUGGAGCAGGGCUGACAGUUUUAUAAGGUCAUGUAGCAAGUUCAUCUGGGGCUUAGAGCUUCUGCCUGAGCCCCUGAGCCUUAGGCAACCCCUUUCUACCUGUAGUCUACUUUUGUAACCUUUCCUCAUAAGUUUGCUGACUGGAAUUUUUGCUUUCUGACCACCAUUGUUCACAGUUUAUCUUUGAGGAAAUGUAUGGGUUUUUGUUUUGUUUUGUUUUGUUUUGUUUUGUUUUGUUUUGUUUUUCUGGUUUUUAUCCUUAGCUGGGAGAGUGAUGUUUCCUCCUUUUCUGAUAAGGACAGCAAUUGGCCAGACUCCAGGGUCUGAGGAAAUACAGUUGUAGAAACCGAAGGUUACCCUAUGGGUGGGCCAAUUCUUUGCACUGGAUUUUUAAUGUUUACUCCUGCAGUAGUACUUAAAUGUGAAAAACGUCAAAGUUCAAAGGGUAAAUAAUAUGUUUCACUUGAAUUUUUCUAAUACAAUAUUUUAGUGUAUGUGUACCCAUAUAAAGAUGAGUAGAGUUUGGGUGUAGCUCACUGGGUGGAGUCUUUGCUUGCCAUGCUUAAAGCUCUGGGUUCAGUCACUGGCACCAUAUAAGCCAGGCUGCAGGGCAUACACCUGUAAUCCCAGAGCAUAGGAAUCCAUCAGAAGAAGCUGAAGGUUCUCCUCUUACAUAAGGAAUUUGAGGCCAACCUGGGUUAGAGAACCUGUCUCAAAAAAGG
ensembl:lincRNA Gm26514 predicted gene, 26514